rnacentral:sRNA from 1 species
AAUUAUUGCAUGUCAUCUACAAAGUUUAUUGCCAGAAGUACCGUUAACCGAGUGUUUGUCUGUAUGAAGCUUAAUUUGGCAUUUUUUCGACAUUGAAGACCGCUGUGUAUUUGGCAAGAGGAACGGAUUGUGUUUAGAGGCACGAAUUAACUUUUACAUCGCUUCUUAAUCAGGUAAAAAUGGAAUGGAAAGAGAGUAUUUAUUUGGCGUCCAUAUCACAUCUUUUUAAAAAUGAUACUUUUAACUAAUUACUGUUAAAAGUAUCAUUUUAAAUUUAUCAAUUUUAAAACAUUCUUUAAAAACGUCUCAUGCACUUUUAUUAACCCUUAAAAUUAAAAAAAGAAAGGAAAGUUACUAGUUGAAUUAAAUAUUAAAAUGAUGUAUUUAAGGUAUUUUUAUUCGAUAAAUGAUUUUAAUGAACGUCAAUAAGAUAUUCGCUAAGAAACCCAUAUGAUUAAGAAAAGAUAUUUCUCUAAUUGUGCCGCUUAGCAUGAAUUUCUUUGUUAUUCUACAUAUUACUUAUGUCGACAUGGAAUUUAUCGAGGUUCGAUAUAAAGUACAUACAAGCACACCGCGAUUAUGCAAACAUCUGAGGAGAAAAAUGUUUUGUGCAUUUAAUGCAAUCAACUUAUUUAAAUUCCUCAUACUGCAAUCGAACGACAGUCUGAUAGAAAAGGGUGGUUUUUAAAUUAGCCGAUAAAUUUAUGUACUUGUAUUAUUAGAGAACAGUUUCAUAUUUAAAAAGUUCGGUUCUUAAAUUAACACCCAAGUGUUUGACGGUAUAUGUCGCUUUUUUACUGAAGUCAGAUGGUUAAAUUGGGUGAAAAAUCAAUCUGACUCUAUGAGGUGAGAGUGAACUGUUUUAUUUAUUUAUUGCUCAAUAUAGAUGCUUUUAAGACAAUUUCAUGAUUUCAAAAGAGUUUGUGAAGUCUGGUUCUAUUUUGGUUCAGUUAAUAUUUGUCCAUAUCAAUAUCAUAUUUUUAAACUCACCAUGACUUGUUCGUUGAAUUACGUCGAAUUACGCAUAGUCAUAAUCUAUUCUUUACAUGCCUCUUAAAUACAAUUUUAGAA